GACGAACGCUGGCGGCGUGCCUAAUACAUGCAAGUAGAACGCUGAAGAGAGGAGCUUACUCUUCUUGGAUGAGUUGCGAACGGGUGAGUAACGCGUAGGUAACCUGCCUUGUAGCGGGGGAUAACUAUUGGAAACGAUAGCUAAUACCGCAUAACAAUGGAUGACACAUGUCAUUUAUUUGAAAGGGGCAAUUGCUCCACUACAAGAUGGACCUGCGUUGUAUUAGCUAGUAGGUGAGGUAAUGGCUCACCUAGGCGACGAUACAUAGCCGACCUGAGAGGGUGCUCGGCCACACUGGGACUGAGACACGGCCCCGACUCCUACGGGAGGCAGCAGUAGGGAAUCUUCGGCAAUGGGGGCAACCCUGACCGAGCAACGCCGCGUGAGUGAAGAAGGGUUUCGGAUCGUAAAGCUCUGUUGUAAGUCAAGAACGGGUGUGAGAGUGGAAAGUUCACACUGUGACGGUAGCUUACCAGAAAGGGACGGCUAACUACGUG
rnacentral:rRNA from 1 species